rnacentral:lncRNA from 1 species
UCACUAUUAUGUUGUUUGUAUUGCCCUUAAGCUAUUUAUUCUAUUUAUUUGGGGGUAAGUAUAUAAUUUAAAAGAGACUACUCACUUCUUCUAUAAAAGAAGUUAGAUGUUGUAAUGUCUCCCUCUUUCUGCAUCCAACCAUCCCCCCAAACAAAAAUAAAACAACACUUGAUCUUAGCCAAAAGGCCGAGAAGUGAUAACAACAAAAAUAAAACAAACUUCUGCUGAGCUCUAUCUCUCCAGUUGGUAAAAAUCCCAAGAGCCUCUGGUACUCAUGUCAGGCAGACAUUUAAACCUAUUCUUCAAAAGAUGUUUCUCCAGCAAUUUAUUUUCUGUCACAGCCUGUGUUUGCUGCCUAUGAAGGAUGAUAUUUUGUUCACCUUUGGUGCCUUUACCCCCUCGUAUGCUAUAGUAAAUGCCCUCAAACAAUGCCUGGACUAUCCAUUAGGUAGGGCUGCCUCGCCUGUCACCCAGCUCAGCUGCUUUCUUCAGUCUUUGCUGUAAACACCCCAUCAUUUCUCCCUAGCCCACCACUCACUCCCAUCUUCCACUGAGUGACUGUGUGUGCAUUUUUUAAAAAACAUUUCAACAGUGUGUUUCUUCUCUCUUCGCUCUCUCAGUACAGCAUACAUCACAACACACAGAGCUAGCCCAGUGUGGAUCACCUUUGUACAGCAUUGACGAGGGAGGUAGAGAAAAAUGGCUGAGAGAGAACAUCAAUCUGGGGACUUGGAAACAGAAAAGGCCGAGUUGGAUACAAAGCAGCAGUAAUAGUAAAGAGAAAAAUGCCAGAAAACUUUCCACAUUGUGAACUACACAGGACAGAGAGAAUCACUGGAGACCUUAGUGAUUGUGGGUACAGAGCUUGGCACGCAGUGGCUCUGACUUCAUUCCAGUCACCCGUCCUGUGGCACAGGGAUUGUCCCUGGGCAGGGUCUGUCCUCCUCAAGGCCUGGAGCAGCCCAGCAUCUGAAGCCUGCUAAGGAGAGGAAGUGGGGCUACUGGAAGUGCCAGAGGAUAAAAUGCCCUUGGGGAACAGCAGAGGACACAGAAGCACCUCCCUCUUUACCUGUACCUUGCCCUGCAUGACAGGAGAUGGGUCUGCUUUUAGUGAGGGGUCUCCCUGCCCCGAGGGCUACUUUCUAUUUCCUUGUCAUCACCUGCCUCUCUGAUUUGCUGACAUCUACANNNNNNNNNNNNNNNNNNNNNNNNNNNNNNNNNNNNNNNNNNNNNNNNNNNNNNNNNNNNNNNNNNUAGCGGACCUGGCUUCUUCUAAGUCUGGGUUCUUCAGUUAUGUGGAGUGCUGACCACAUACAUUGGGGUGGCAGGACUGGGGGACACUAUGAGAUUUAGACGGGAU